GUUGCAGUGAUGAGAAGCUAACAUGUAAGAAGAUCCCAUCUUAUUGAGGGGUUUUCAAUGAAAUAUACCUGUUACGCUUGGCUUCUGAGCUUG
rfam:Gossypium raimondii Chr10_contig_286, whole genome shotgun sequence.